rnacentral:rRNA from 1 species
AUUGAACGCUGGCGGCAGGCCUAACACAUGCAAGUCGAACGAGUGGCGGACGUGUGAGUAAUGUCUGGGAAACUGCCUGAUUGAGGGGGAUAACUACUGGAAACGGUCGCUAAUACCGCAUACCAUCUGAUGUGCCCAGAUGGGUUUAGCUAGUAGGUGGGGUAAAGGUUCACCUAGGCGACGAUCCCUAGCUGGUCUGAGAGGAUGACCAGCGACACUGGAACUGAGACACAGUCCCGAGUCGUACGGGAUGGAGCAGUGGGGAAUAUUGCAUAAUGGGCGCAAGCCUGAUGCAGCCAUGCCGCGUGUAUGAAGAAGGCCUUAGGGUUGUAAAGUACUUUCAGCGGGGAGGCGUUACCCGCAGAAGAAGCACCGGCUAACUCCGUGCCAGCCGCCGCGGUAAUUG